CAGGCGGAAAAAACGCAGCGCUACCACCAGCAUGCAGUGGGGGAAGGGAAGCACGUGUAAACCGGGCCAGGGUUGCAUCAUGAGCGGGCUCGGGUUUUCGAUUGCACCCUUCGUAAUACCUCAGCAUCAGUCUGCACGAGCUCAGGAGCCCGGGAGCUACGAAGGGCAGGCUCAAGGGAGCGCCACCAAAUCCUUUGGGGUGGGGGGACUUGAAUGGCAGCCGAUAGCUAAUAAGCCAGUGUUCUGCUGAUUCACAAUUAUGGAGACUGUGAAAUGAAGACAAGACCUGAACUAUGGGCUCACCAUAGAUGACUUUUUUGAGCUUGACCUCCCACUGAGGGACUGUUUUUUCACCUACAGAGGAGAGCCACCCCAGGGCAAUCCAGUCAGGGUCAUCGAAGAAGAGAGAACAUCAACUGAAAAAAAUAUCUGCAUCUGAUUGGCCUGUGGGUAAGUCUGUGGGACAUUUUCUUUAUUAAUGAUUGAUGUGGGAGGGCCCAGCCAACUGUGGGAGGUGCCUUCCCUAAGCAGGUGGUCCAGGGUUGAAUAAGAAAACUAGCUGUGCAAGCCAUGGGGAGUAAGCCAGUAAGUAGCACCCCUCCAUAGCCUGUGUUUCAGCUCUGCCUUCAGGUUGCUGCUGCUGUUAUUGUUGUUAUUUUUUGAGAUUAUAAUAUAAUUACAUUUCUCUGGGGCUGGAGAGAUGGCUCAGAGGUUAAGAGCACCGACUGCUCUUCCAAAGGUCCUGAGUUCAAUUCCCAGCAACCACGUGGUGGCUCACAACCAUCCGUUAUGAGAUCUGGUGCCCUCUUCUGGUGUGCAGAUAUACAUGGAAGCAGAAUGAUGUAUACAUAAUAAAUAAAAUCUAUUAAAAAAUAUAAUUAAAUUUCUCCCUUGUCUUUUCUCCCCACAAAUCCUCCUAUACACCCUCUGCAGCUCCAGUCCCAUGGGAUCUGUCACCUUUGGGCACCAGGCAUGCACAUGCAUCAUAUACAUACAUACAGCCAAAAUAAAAUGCACAUAAAACAGUACAGUAAAUCUUUUUUAAAAAAGUUGUAAUCGUUGUGUGUAAAACUGCUGGCAGAUAUUUAUCAUCACUUAACAUCUACAGUGGCUCAGAAGCAGGGUCCAGGCUGUUAGCUUCAAACACUUGGGCAUGCAAAGCUCUUGAAGUCUUUUCCAUGGAUCAGUCAUGUGAAAAUAAGCCAUGGUAAAACUACAGAACUCAUUUUUGUAUUUGAUUUUUGGAAAAAAAUGAAAUGAAUUCUUGCUUUUAUUUUUUGUUGUUGAGACAGCAUCUCAUGUUGCCUAGGUCUCACACAUAUUAUGUAGCUGAAGUUGGCCUUGAAUUGCUUAUCCUACUUCCUCAGCCUCCCAAGUGCUGGGAUGCUGAGUGUGCACUGCUAUGUCAGGCUUUAAAAAAGGAAAUUCUUAACUUAUACUGCUCACUUACAUUUUACUUUUGUCUAUACUUUUGUUUUUCAUGUUCUUAUGGCAGCUGAUGUGUUUUCUCGAAGAUUCUGCUUGUUGUCAAUUUGUCAACUUAGGUCUUAUAUUAGGUGAUCUUAGUUAACUUUUCUAUUAUCAUGGCAAAACAUCAUGCACAAGGCAACUUACAAAAUAAUUUAAUUUGGUGGUUUAACAGUUUCAGAGGGUUGGAGUCCAUGACCACUAUAUUGGGGAGCAUGCCAGCAAGCAGGCAAGCAUGGUGCUGGAGCAUUAGCUGAGAGCUUAUAUUCUGAGACAACAGCCAUGAGUCAGAACAAGCUAACUGAGAAUGAGUGGGAUUUUGAAAUCUCAAAACCUGCCCCUAAUGACACACUUCCUUCAACAAGGCCACACCUCCUAAUCUUUCCCAAACAGUCCAGCUGGGGACCAAGUAUUCAAAUAUAUGAGCUUAUAGGGGUUAUUCUCAUUCUAACCACCAAAGGUGGCCUGCCAAUUGUGUGGCAUCACUUGAACCUGUGUGCCUAGCAGUGAAUAUUUGUUUGUGUGUAUGUGUUCACAUAAGCAUGGGAGUUGUAUGUUUGCAUAUCUCUGUGGUAACCAAAGGUCAACGUUGGGUGUCUUCCUCACCUUAUAUUUUGAGUCAGUCCCUUAUAGAACCUGGAGCUUGUCCAUUUGCUGUCUGUCCAGUGAGUCCAGUGAGAUCCGUGGCUGUGCCUGUCUCCAUGUAAUGGGAUGAAAAACUACCACAUAUGGGUUCUGGGGAGGGAAGUUAGGUCCCCAUGUCUGCAAUAUGUGCAUUACAAACCAUAUCAUCUCCUCGGGGUAAGUGAAGAUUUUCAUUAUGGAAGCCAGACAUGUAAGUUUUUUGGGCAUGACCACUUUUUUCCUUCAGAUUUAUUAAGAAUUAAUAUUUUUUGGAUUUUUUGAGACAGGGUUUCUCUGUGGCUUUGGAGUCUGUCUUGGAACUAGCUCUUGUAGACCAGACUGGUCUCCAACUGACAGAGAUCCACCUGCCUCUGCCUCCCGAGUGCUGGGACUAAAGGCGUGUGCCACCACCACCCAGGUGAGGCAGUUAUUUUUAUCUCUGCCUUUGACUGUUGCUUUUCCCAUGGUUAAAAUAGGCACUCUAUGGUUAACAUCAAUAGGAUAUGAUGUAUAUUAUAGUUAAGAAACACAUACACUUGCUCACACAUGUAUACACAUAAACUCCUACCCCUAUAUUGAAGGUUAAGCAGGUGGAGAUUCUCUUUGGCCUAAUACCCUGUCUACUUACCACUGCCCACCUUCUGAAUGAGGCUUUGCCUGGUACCCAAGCAGUUAGCAAGAUCCUGUGACAGUGCUUCAUGUCUGAGCCAGCAUCCUCUUAUGUUUUUGUUGAGUUGACAACACUCAUUAUCCAUUUGAUGAUUAGUCAGCCAUUUGCUCGAUUAUAAUAUUAUAGUAUUUAUAAUAGUAUAAUAUUUCAGAAAUCUGUCUUAAUAUGGUCCUAAGUGGGUUCUUUAGCUUCUGAAACCUACUGAUUUGUAUUACCUGUGUGUUGAAAGACUAUACUCACUGUGUGCAGGUUUUUCUGCUCUGAUCCUGGGAGUUGGAGGGGACUGGUCAAGGCAAGGGUAAAAGCCAGUAGACCAUGAAUGCUCUUGAGUCCAAGAAUCUCACAGAGAGAAAACAGAAUUGCAUGGGCUGGCUGUACUGUGGAAGGGCUGGUGACAAAAUUCACUCAAGGAAUGCAAGGGCUUUUCCUUAGAAGGUAGAGCUAUUAAAAUGAGCUGUCGUGGUUUUUCCAUGGAAAUAAAAAUCAAAUCAAUUUUCAUUCAAAUAAUUGUAUGUGAGGCUUUAUAAUUAUAAAGAUCUGAAGUUAGCAAAAUUAUAUAGCCCAAGUUAAUUACACUAGUGUGUUCAAACCAAAUAUAGAGCAAGAUUAGCAUUUCUAUGUCACUACAGGGCCUCCUAGCCUUAGAUGCCUUCGCUCCAUCCUCCAUUCUCUUUCCCCUCCUGUUCUUUUCCUCCUCCCUUUCUCUUCUCUUCCUCCUUCUUGCCUUCUUUUUUUUCCAACUUUUUUAUUUGAAUUAGAAACAGGAUUGUUUUUCAUGACAAUCCCAGUUCCCUUCUCCCACCCGUCCUCCCCUACCCCACCCCAACUAAAACCUUAUCUAUCACAUAUCUUUUCUGCUCCCCCUGGAUGGUGAGGCCUUCCAUAGGGUGUCAUCAGAGUCUUCCCUAUCCUUUGGGAUAGGGCCUAGGCCCACCCCCUUGUGUGUUGGCUCAGGGAGUAUUCCUCUAUAUGGAAUGGGCUCCCAGAGUCCACACCUAUGCUAGGGAUAAAUACUGGGCUUCUACAGGAGGUCCCAUAGAUUUCUGAGGUUUCCUCACAGAAACCCAUGUUCCUGGG
ensembl:lncRNA